GGCGGUUCUCGGGUGACACACCCUGGAAUCGGGCUCCCUCCUCUCUGGUUCCGGGUGCGUUACCCCAGAACCGCA
rfam:Myotis davidii contig132652, whole genome shotgun sequence.